UGAAAAAUGACUCCUUUGUCAAAAGUUGGAAAAUGUCCCUUUUGGAACAUACAAAGGCACUCUCGUUGACAACAUUUGCAACAACGACAGCAGCUAAAAUGAUGAUGAAAGAAAUUUUUUCUCAAGAUAUGUUAAAAAAAUUUGUUAUGCUGGUAAUAAAACAUCUGGAGAGAAAAAGGUGGCAGUCAAGAAUGGGAGUGUGUAUUUCACACUGAUAGGCAACUGUGUUAAAACAUCUGGGCCACAAAGACGUUGUAAAGAUUGAAAAAGGCCUAAAAGAUGCCAUGUUCAAAGCUAACAACAAUGUUACAAGGG
rnacentral:lncRNA from 1 species